CGGAGGCUUCAGUCCUGGCCUGUCUGUCCUGCCCAGCGCGGCCUCUGUGCCAGGGCCCCAGCACGUCCUUGCCCCGCGGGGAGCUGUGGCUCCUUUGUUCUGUGACGGCCUCCAAGGCCACGAGGCCCUUCAGAGGCAGGGAGGCCCGGAGCAGCUUCCUCCCCGGCCCCGGCCUUGGGGGCCUCCAUCUGGCUGCCAUCCGGGCAGGGCGUGCACCAGGCGGCUUAUCUCCCCACGCCAGCUGUUCCUGCCGGCCCGCGGGGGUCCCCCCACUGCUCCCCAGGACACUGGGCCGCUGCCACUGCAGGAGCUGUCGGGGGCCAAGGCAAAGCCAGAGAGCAGGCGUCAAACAGUCGGAGGCCGGAGGUCAGGCUGGGCUGUCCCCCCCCAACCCCGGCUCCCCCAGCUCCCGGGGGCCCGGUCCCUCUGGCUUGUGCCCGGAUCACUCCUGUGUCUGCCUCUGUGUCCCGUGGCCUCUGCUCUGUGUCAGGACCCCCCUUCUGUGAGGACAUCAGCUGCAGGACAGCCCCCCACCCAGUGUGACCUCAUUCCACCUGGUGACCCCUGCCCUAUGCCUAGAUGAGGGCCUUUCCUGAGGCUCCCGUGACCGUGGGCUGGGGCACCACAGACCCUGGCACAGACACGGACACCCGUCAGCACCCGUGGUCUGUGAUGGGCACGUGGAGGGGAGCCGGGCGGGGACGAGGCCACCCAUCGGGGAGGGGCAGGGCGUGGUGAGCUCAGGACGCGGACGGGCGGGGGGAGCCUGGGCCGCCCCCGGGAUGCCCACGGGCCCCAGGACGGCCGCCUGCGGUGUGGGGCCUGCACCGCCCUGGGUCCAGGUCCGGAGCAGCCGCUGCCCUGCAGGUGGGGUCGCACCCGCGGAGGCAUGACUGGAGUGUGGAUCCCACAUUUGACCCUUCCUCCCUCACCUGAGCGUAAAGGGCUCCCUGACCCCGAAGAGGAGGGUCCCCCGCCAGCCUGCGCAUGGCCUGGAUGCGCUGGGGCUAGAGCUGUGCCGGUGCAGGGAGGCGCACGUGGAACACGGGGCCCAGACGACUCGGCAGCGGACAGGGCCGCCUGUGAUUUGCGUUCCCUGAUGGCUCACGACGGCACCUCUUCAUGAUGUAAGGCCCUCCUGGGACACGUGAUGUACCCGUGCUUUCUCCCGGCCUGCGGGCCAUUUCCUCACUUCCUCCUUGCAGUUCUUUGAAGCACCAGCUGUUUAAUCCUGAUGAAGUUCUGUUUAGAUAUUGAUUGUCGCUCAUGCUUUUGCUGUCGUAUAUAAGAAACCACUGCCUGAGCCAAAGUCGUCAAGGUGACACUACCUGGUUUUUGUUUGAAAUCAUUUUGUCAAAAAAAAAAAAAAAAAAGAAAUCAUUUUGUCAUUUCGAAAAGUGUUUGCGGUACGGGCGCCUGGCUGGGUGGGUUGGGCGGAGCACGCGACUUCUGAUCGCAGGGUUGCGAGUUCGAGCCCCACGUCGGGUGUAGAGAAUACCACUAUUAUUAAAAAUAAAACCUUAAAGGGGCACCUGGGGGGCUCAGUGGUUAAGCGUCUGCCUUGGGCUCAGGGCGUGAC